rnacentral:lncRNA from 1 species
GGUCUGUGAUUUUGGUCUUUCUCGUUUCAAAGCUAAUACAUUUCUUUCAUCAAAGACUGCUGCCGGAACUGUAAGUUCUUGAUUCAAGCUCUGGUUCCUUUAGUGUUCUGUUGGUCUUUUGGCUCGUUUCUUGAUAACUAAAUAAGGAAAAGAAUGAUUUGGUGCUUAAUGUGACAUCCGGAAUGGAUGGCGCCUGAUGUUCUUCGUGAUGAACCAUCAAAUGAGAAAUCUGAUGUAUACAACUUUGGCGUUAUUUUAUGGGAGUUGGCAACACUACAACAACCAUGGAGUAAUUUGAGCGCACCACAGGUUUGUGCUUGGUAUUUUAGGUGUAAAUGGUGAUCUAAACAAUUGAAUAAGGGUGGC